rnacentral:lncRNA from 1 species
GUCACAUGUUUCCAAUCCAUCCUUCUUUCAUCCCCAUUAUCAAUUGCAAAAAUUCUUCUUUGAAUCAUCAUCAAUAAUACGAAUUCGGUCCGGCGAUUGAUGCGAAGAAUAACGAAAGAAGAUCAAAUUGAUUCAGAUUGAAACCCUAGCCUCCCUCUUUCUUUGGCUUGAAGCUUCUACCAUACGCUUUCCUGAAACCCUAAAGUAUCAUACGCUUCUUCUUCUUGUACCUGCAUCUCAUUCUCUCAGAAUCGCUUGUGCUAUUUCAAAACCCUUAUCUCAGAUUCUUUAAUUACGGCCAUUCCUUUAAGAGUGAAUCAGAUAACUAUUGUUGGCCAAUUGACUAUAAUAAUUUGAGAGCUGGAAAUGGCAUACUAAAGAUACCUGAUAAUGGUUAUGAAAAUCUCAAAGAAAGGAGAAUAAUUCUUUUAGCACUUCCCUGUUAUGAAGCAAAGAGAAGUUGUAAACAAAUAUUUAAAAGUGAUUAAAACAACCGAUUAAGCUGGCCUUCACAUGGCUCACUAUGGACUACUAAAAUUGUUGAACCAAGCCCUUUCGUUUUGUUUGUAUAUAGAAUAGUACCUUAUCCUCAGCUCUAUGGUGUCUAUUUUUUGCAAUUCAUUCAGCCUGAUGGUUUCUUAUUCAUAACAAAACCAAUGACCUAUGUGAAAAGAUGCAGGAAACAAGUCAGAACAGUCUAGGAGGUGAACCAAUUUCUAAUGACUUAAUCUACCUUCAGGUACAUGUAACACUGGUUUAGGUACGUGUAAUAGUUGGUUGAUAAAUGUUAUUUAUCAUAGAUCUAUAGUGGGGACUUUAGUUUGAUUUAGCCCUCAAAAUAGUUUGUUUUAUUAAAUAAGAUUAGGAUUCUAGCAUUAUUUUUUAGCGAAAAGUAGGCAUCCUAGCAGAAAAUAGUCAAAGAGGUCAAAGUUCUUGCAUUCCUAUGGAUUAAAAAUUGAGCAAGAAUGAAUGCACUUGGUUAGGAGGAAUGGAAAACGCUAAAAGUGUAAUGAUACGUUUAGUGGAAUGUAAUAUGUAUGAUGUAAAUACUUUGGUGUUUGGGUUAAGCUUUCGGCUUUCCCUAUAUUAAUAAAGAUUUUGUUUGUCGCUAAAAAAAAGAUAUCUGCCAAUACUUUGGUGUUUGGGUUAAGCUUUCGGCUUUCCCUAUAUUAAUCAACAUACUUUUGAAUAAAUUAUGUCACUUUGUUUUGAAUUUAUUUGAUUUAUACACAUACAAUCAAUUUGUUUGUAUUAUUUUGUUUAUAUGUAAGUAAUUCAUAAUUAAUGUAAAUAAUUUUCUCGAGCUCGGGAAGCAAUCCCGGGUGAUAACCUAGUGUCUAAUAUAUAUCGUAAACAUGAAUCUGGCUAUUCUAAAAGGCAAAAGAAACAAAAACGAGAAACUGAGGGUUUUUCUCAAAUUGUUUUCAUUUUUUUUUUUGGGGGGGGGGGGGGGGAAGCCACAAUCUUUUACUUCGUUUUAGGCCAUAAAAAUGGUUGAGCCAGCUGCUGGUCUAUACAAAUGAGUGUCGCCGAAGAUAUACUAAUAAUGGGUUGUCCGUGUGUAAUUACUAACGAAUCACCAAUGGAAUAUUGUAAAAACCCAAUUAAAAGUAAAAAGAGAAAACUAAAAAAAAGUGUUAGUAGCUGGCAAAUGUUAUAGCGGUGUACAUGUAAAAGCUUAGGAACAACGACACGACCACACACUCACUUUGCUUAAUCAUGUGAACAAGUGAAUAUAUCUUUGCUUGUAUGUUAACUUUUCAGAGUACGAAUUAUGGAUCCUUUUGUCUCUAUAUCUAUGUAUCUGUGCACAUCAAUUCCUUUUGAUUCUCUUAAAUAUGAUUUUAGAGUAUGGUAUGUGGGGAGUGAUCGUAAAUUAUUUUUGUAUUAUUGAAUUUGUUUUUUGAAUUCUUUCAACUACAAGGCACUCCACAACCUAUUUGACAUUCUAAUUUGGUAUCAAAACAUUGUGUGCCAUUUCGACAACAACAAUAUUGUAUCUUUUGACCACUUUUAUGUAUCCAACAAACUCUGCUUGGACGUU